AACCUCCUGGUGCUUACCGAAGGCUGUGUUCUUUACACUGACUUUAUUGAAAGAGGAAGCACAAUAAUUCGCCCCAAAUACACCUCAGCUUAGACCCUUUGUUCUAUAUUGUGAAUUAAGCAACAUGA
ensembl:snoRNA